GUGUGUGUGUGUGUGUGUGUGUGUGUGUGUGUGUGAUUGUCUAUUGUCUAUUACUAAUCUUCAAGAAACAUUUUUGAUAAAAAGAAAAAUUUGUUUCAUUUUAUGAUUAAAUAAAUUUUUUAAUUAAUUGACAUUUUAAGAUAAUAUAAGAAGUCAAAUUCUUUUAGAAACAAUAGUUUAUCAAAUUAUUUGUCGUUUAUUUAAACAUGUUACAAACAUUUACCGCUUGAGAAAGUAUGAUUUGAAUUUUAUUGUUACUUAUUUAAAAGAUAUUUUAAAUCUUAAAUAAAAUAACAAAAUUACAAAUAUGUUUAUUCAAUAAAUCUUUCUUAUUAAGUUCCAAAUAGUUGAAAUAUAUUAUUUUGCAUCGUUUCAGUUUAAAUGUAUUACUACAGAGAUCGGACUUAUCUCUUUAGACGGUAUAUGGAUAAUAUCCUUAUACAGAUCCUUGCAUAGACAUAAAACGAUUAGUAAAGUUUAACCAAUGUCUCUUAUCGAUCUGUGUGUUUUUUUAUAUACAGCGGUGCCACAUUCUAUUAUUUCUUUCAGUAAAGACAAGAUCGUAGAUAAAGUAUGAUAAAAAUCUGAUGUAUGAAUCGCCAAGGUGAUUAUCGACGCAUAACAUAAGUAAUAAUUAGUGCAGUAUAUCUCAUAUGUAGAUUUAAUACGUUUAUAUCUUGUUGUAUCGGCGGAAUCUUCUUGUGCCAAGAAGAGAGAAUUUUAAAAUAUUUCUUAUUUACAGUAUUUCUCGCACAUAUAAGUCAAAAUAAAUUUAAAAAAUAUUUAAUAAAAUUUUAUUACUUAAACAUAUAUAAUAUUUUCAAAAGUGUUAUUUAUGGAAGUGUUUGUCUUAAUAAUACUUGGUAAUUGUUAAUUUCAAAUUUAUUUUUAAGCUGUUAAUUUUCACUCAAUAAUACGCGGAGAAAAUUUUCUCUUAAAAUUUACCCUCAAAAUUUGAUAUUUGUAGAAUAAUGUCUGAUCUCGAGAAAUUUUACUAUUAGUAAAAUUUCUCGAGGACACACAUUAUCCCGCAAUUAUCAGAUUUUGAAGGUAAAUUUUAAGAGAAAACUCUCCGUGUACAUACACCUUUAAACAUUUAUGUACUUAGCACAUGCACUUGUCUUUUAUAAAAAAAUUUUUCAACUUUUACAUAUAUAGUAUAUAUAAUAUAUUCUGCUUACUUAGUAAAAAACAGUACAAAUUACCUGAAUUUUCCUUUUCUUAUAAUUUUAAACUUUAUUAAAUCAUAUGUAUGUCAUGCGUCGUAUGGUAAUCUUUCCCCUCGCAAUAUUGCAUUUAUCGAACAAUGUAGCACGUAAAAUUUGCCAACCCUUUCAUGUAACCCUAUCAUUAUGCGCAGACGUUUUGUACACGCAAGCGCGAUACUCAGUCUGUUUUUACUACUGAAAGAGAAACCAUCUAUUAGCACAUACAUCCGUUCAGUCAUGCUCGAGCUUCUGGUCUCGUCUGACCAUCUGUUAUUCGCAAACUCGAAAUGCGCACACACUAUUAACGGAAAUAACGAAAAUUCCUAGUGCUCAACAAAGAACAAAAGAAACAUACAAAAUCGCGUUCGAAGAUUCAAUUGCGUGUUAAAUAUAAAUUUAAAAAAAAAAAAAGAACCGUUUAAGCUAAUCAUGGAAGGUUCAUCGAAGAUGAAUAAACAUGAAAAUGAGUUCACUUACGCAGUGCAAGUGACUCGUGUUAUCCUGCGAAUGAUCGGCGCGUGGCCACUUUCCAAUUACGUUUCCAACGUUGAAAGAAUCGCGACCCGCCUACAAAACAUCUGUUGCUACUUUUUAUUCGCGUUUACGAUUAUACCAGGUUUCCUGUUGAUGUUUCUGAAGGAACGCGACUACAAACGUAAAGUGAAAUUACUCGCGCCAAUUCUCAAUUCUUGGGCAAGUUGCGUGAAGUAUAGCCUGCUCGUGUACCACGCGAGAGAAAUUCAUUCUUGCCUGAAGCAGGCGCGACAGGAUUGGAUGAAUACGGUCGAUUUGAACAGUCGGAAAGCAAUGUUAUCUAACGCGAAAAUAGGCCGGCAGUUCGCGAUCGUUUCUGCCAUCUUUAUGUACAUCAGCGGAUUGUUUUUCCGUGUCAUCGUGCCGCUCUCGAAAGGACGAAUGCUCACGCCGAUGAACACCACGGUGAGAGCGUUGCCAUGCCCGAGUUACUUUGUUAAAUUCAAUGAACAGGCCUCACCGGCGUACGAGAUCGUCUUCAUCCUGCAAUUCUUCGCAGGACUAAUCACCUACUCGGUAACGGUCGGCGUUGCCGGACUGGCUGCAUUUUUCGUCAUGCACAUUUGUGGACAAUUAAGCGUUUUAAUUGGCAAGCUCAAAUGUCUUAAUAAUAUACUGGAACCCGAGGAUCGAACUGUCACGAUAUUACUGGCUGAUAUCGUAGAGCAUCAUAUAAGAGUGAAAGGUUUCCUAAAACAAGUAGAGGAAACUAUGCGAUUUGUAUGGUUAUUGGAAAUAGUGAGCUCUACUCUUUUUCUGUGUCUUACGGGGUACUACGUUAUUAUGGAAUGGGAAAAUAAUAAUUCUACAGCAACGUUUACUUAUUCUGUGAUGCUGGCAUCUUUGACCUUUUCUAUUUUUACUAAUUGUUACGUUGGUCAACUAUUAACGGAUCAGAGCUCCAAGUUUGGCUUAAUGGCAGCCACAAUGAAAUGGUACCGUCUUCCGCAUAAAAGAAGUCGUUCUUUAAUCUUGAUAAUGGCGGUUUCUAAUAUUCCGGCAAAAAUCUCGGCGGGAAAGUUGAUAGACAUGUCUCUACUAACGUUCAGUAAUCAUAUCGAGAACGACUGAAUUAAUACUCGACAUUAUGAAGAUCGAUUCAUCGAUUACAUUGGCGGGCUUGUUACAGACAAGAAAGUAGCUCCUAGCAGGGUAUAUAAGCCUAGACAUGUUUGAAAUAAGAGAAAUGAGAAAAGCAAUCCUGUAAACAGUGCAAAAAGAUCGGUGAGGUAUCGUAUAUGACUGAUUAGUAUCGUCUGCCAGAAAGAAAGAGUCUUGGUCUCGUAUUGAUCGCUAUGUCCAAUACAUCGAUCGAACUUAGUGCCGGAAUCUUCGAGUUGUCUCUCAGUACUUUUGGUGAUGUAAGUAAAAUCAAAAUCUAUUAUAUAUCAUAUCUAUUCGUAAAUAAUAUGAAUUACACGUAGUUUGUCUAAUCAAUAGGUGAUUAAGUCAUCCCUCGCCUACUUGAAUAUGCUACAUACAUUAGCUACAUAAUACUUGUUUGAUAUGUAGAAAUUGUUAAUGCACCUACUGGUUGCAAAUUAGAUCCAAUAUAUAUAUCAAAAUAGAGAAAUGAACAUUAUUUAAAAAAAUUGACGUACUUAUUUAUUAAAAUAUUUGAUGAAAAAAAAAGAAUACAAUAUUCCUAUUGCAUUUUUUCUGUAUUUUUUCGCGCUGCACAUAUCGCACGAUAAUGUCGUAUUAUGUGUGUGUGUGCAUGUACAACACAUGUAAUUUAUAAUUAAACAAAUUUUCUUAUCAAAUACAGAUUCUAUAAGUGGUAGGAUUUAGUGCAUAUUAUAAUAUUUUAUCUAUGACAUUUUUCUUACAUAAUUCAACAUAUACUCAAUAUCACAUGAGGAACCUUAACCUUUUAAAGAAAUCCCUUCACAGAAGUUGGAAAUUAUAUUUGCCAAGUUCACCCUUCAUAUUCUGCUUGAUCACCGCUUUCUCAGAAACUAACUAGCGCAACCGCAUUUUAACUCUUAAUGCUAUAAGCAUAGUUGUAUUUCA
rnacentral:misc_RNA from 1 species